UUGGUUUCCCUUUAUAAUAGAAAGGGAAAGAAAAGGGCCAACAACAAAACAACUUUAGCCAAAUUUACAAUUGUGACCACAUACUUUGGGAAUGUUUAUUAUGAAUUUUUGACCUAUACUUUCAUGUCAGUUACAACUUACAAAUGUAGCAAAGGUCUAAAAAUCUCAUUUCGGGUGUUCUACCAUCAGAACAUCGAAGUACAAUCUUGGGAACAAAAG
rnacentral:misc_RNA from 1 species